AGUAGAAUGACUUACAUUAUUUAUUUACACUACAUCACCAGUUCAUUACUUUACUAGAAGAUGACAUAAGUUUUUUAGGAUAAAUCAGUCGGUCAUUACAACAUAUUACAACAAGUCAUACAACUAGUUAAGUAUUUUUCCACCUACCUCUACCGAAAGUAUACUUUUCCGGACCUGAUUGUAUGGAGCAAAGUUGUACUUUUCCUCCCUAGGGAGGAAAAGUAAAAGUGACCAUAAUGAUCAUGGUAUUUCAUUCAUGAAAUAUAACUUAUUGACGCCCUGGACAAUAUCUAUUUUCUAUUACAAGAUGGUGUGAGGUGCCCACAGUGCAAUAAAGUUUACAAGUAUAAAAGAAACCUUUGGAGGCACCAAAAAUUUGAAUGUGGGAUUGAAGUAAAGAAUUUCCCUUGUCCUGUUUGUGAGAAAGCUUUCACGUACCGAAGUACUCUACGGGUUCACAUGGCGGUUAUACACGAUCAGAUUGAUUGUAAAUAAAAUAAAUACUUUGUUAAAUAAAAGUCAUAAUCCAUA